CUUGCUGAAGUUGCUAAGCUUGGAUGUUGUUUUGUUCAUCUAUGUUAAAAAUCCUGAAAAAUAAUGGGAAAGUUUAUAAGUGCAUACUGCUUUUAAACGCAUAUAACCAUUAAUCCGACUCUAAAAGUGUUUCCCUUGCAAUCAGAGGAGCAGAAUCAACUGCUUCGCGCACAGAAUACAUUAAAAUCGCGUGCGAACUCUUUGAUUUUCCGGGAUAAAAAGCAGCCUAUGUGCUGAUCGAGGAUAUUAUCUAUAUCUUCAAAUUUUCAAAAACUUCAAGAUUUGAAAAGAAAACAGUAGAGAGCUACUCAGCAACGCUGUCGACUGAAGAAAAAAACGAUGAUACCCUUAGGCCUUAAUACAGACCGCCUUAACACGGACCGCGUGAAUAUGUCCUUGGUUAGAAAAUUACAAAGAAGACUGGUUAAUCAAAGGAAUCUAUAUGCUGAAAAGAUACGUGAAUCACAGAUUGCUGCUCAAGAAGAAGACAAAACAAAUUAACAUUAUUCAAGAUGAAAACGAAAUGACUCAUUUGUCCAAGUAACAGUUUCAUAGAACAAAACCUACCUCACGUUGCAGAAGAAAACAAAGAUAUAGUUAAAAAGCAACUUUUAACACACUAUGCUUUAGUGAAUGCUAUUCAAUACACAUAUGAGAACACCAAAAAACGGUGAACGAAAUAUUCUAUUUAGAAUCAUUAGAAAAUACGAAACAUACAAAUGCAGCCGACACCAAAAAGAAACCUCAGGUUAAGCGAUGCUUAUUUUGUGCCAGAAGAGGCCACAGUAUAAAGUGUGUCGUAAACGCCUCGCUCAAAUACCGGAAACCAAACAAGUGAGCCCUACAACAACUAAGGAACCGAGCACAAUGAAACCAGAACCAACGAAAUCCACCAUUAGCUGUUGUGGUUGCGGUUCGCCAGGGAUGUUCUGAAGCAAUUGUGGAAAGUGCAAAGGAAAUGAAUCACUCCCAAAGCCGGUAUCGUUCUUUACCUUCGAAGCCAAUAUCGAAGACAGUGUCAAGAUACCAACAAUAGAAAUCUCUGUUUACGGACAGCAAGGAUAUGCUUUCACCGACACCGCGGCAAGAACGAGCAUUGCCAGUGAACACCUUUACGAAAUAUUGUUCGAAAAAGGCGCCAACUUCCGCAAGCAAGUCUGCCCAAUAAUGCAUACUGUUUUCUAUGGUCCGAACUGAACGGUAAAAAAGGUAGCUGCGAAAUUGGAACAAUUUUAUUACAUUACUUAACUAAAUGUAUUCCAGCAAAUGUAACUGAAAUAAGCCUUUUUUCUGAUACUUGCUCAGGUCAAAAUAGGAAUCAAUAUGUGGCAGCAAUUCUUUUGUGGGCUGUUCAGAAUAUUAAUAGGCUAAUAAUACAUGAACCAAAUAAAACUCGAAAGAAUGCUGAAAGUACAAAUAGUCAAAGUUCUAGGAAGAGAGAAUUAGAGUCUACCCCUCCGAGUCAAAUGAGCAAUCCUUAUGAUCAAGUAAAUCAACCUUCAUCAAAUUAUCAAAUGGCAAAGAAAAAUAAACAUAAGAGGAAUAUCCAGAAUAAGGGGCAAAGCCCCAUGAAUAGUUUUGUACAAAAACCAUCAGCACUAAAAAUAUUUACUGCAGUCACACUCGAUGAGGAAUGCGAUGAAUAGUAAUUACCACAGCCCCUCCAUCCAGUACAAACCCUGCUGCCCACUCAGCACAAUUCACAUAACAAGCAAUAAGAAGAAAAACUUUUGAGAAAAAUAGUCUCCCAACCCGGCUGGUGACCGUCGGAGAGCUAGACCAAGUACCCUCCAGUCAUAAGAGUUUUUAGAUUGGAUAAUACAAGUAUGAAUUAUAAUAAAAUACCUACAUAACAAAAAAAAAUAAGUCGAUCGUAAAAAGAAACAUAACAAAGAGUAUAUACUAAAAAUUUCCUAUUCC